CAGAGGGUGCAAGCGUUGUUCGGAAUCACUGGGCGUAAAGCGCGCGCAGGCGGACGUGCGAGUCUUGAAGUGAAAUCCAGCCGCUCAACGGCUGGGCUGCUUCGGAUACUACAUGUCUGGGGACCGGUAGAGGCUGGUAGAAUUGCAGGUGUAGCGGUGGAAUGCGUAGAGAUCUGCAAGAAUACCCGUGGCGAAGGCGGCCAGCUGGGCCGGGUCCGACGCUGAGGCGCGAAAGCGUGGGGAGCAAACAGGAUUAGAUACCCUGGUAGUCCACGCCGUAAACGAUGGGCACUAGGUGCCGGGGGAGCGACCCCUUCGGUGCCGCAGCUAACGCGUUAAGUGCCCCGCCUGGGAAGUACGGCCGCAAGGCUG
rnacentral:rRNA from 1 species